CGGAUGAAACAGAUGAAGUAGAGUUUGACACGAGAAUGUAUCAUUUCAGUGAGCAUGUACCUCCAGCGAGGGAGAGCAAGAGUUUUAGUGAAGCUCACAAGAACAACAGCAAGUUAUAGAAGUGGUGCAAGAAACAGGAUAAGUAACUCGCCAAGUUCUUCAAGGCUAUCAAGUUUCUUAAGGACAAGCUAAGCUGCUCCUCUGCCACUACAGCUAUUCCG
rfam:Arabidopsis thaliana chromosome 3, complete sequence.